rnacentral:rRNA from 1 species
UCCAGGCGGUAACUUAAUGCGUUAGCUGGGGCACUGAAGAUUUUAAUACCCGCUACACCGAGUGUACAUCGUUUACGGCGUGGACUACCAGGGUAUCUAAUCCUGUUCGCUACCCACGCUUUCGCGCCUCAGCGUCAGUAUCGGUCCAGAAAGCUGCCUUCGCCAUCGGUGUUCCUCCUGAUAUCUACGAAUUUCACCUCUACACCAGGAAUUCCGCUUUCCUCUCCCGUACUCAAGUCUUGCAGUUUCAAAUGCACUUCCAGGGUUGAGCCCCGGGCUUUCACAUCUGACUGACAAAACCGCCUACGCGCCCUUUACGCCCAAUAAUUCCGAAUAACGCUUGCACCCCCCGUAUUACCGCGGCUGCUGGCACGGAGUUAGCCGGUGCUUCCUUCACGGGUACCGUCAAUACUGACGNCUAUUAGACAANAAUAAUUUCUUCCCGGUUGACAGAGCUUUACGACCCAAAGGCCUUCUUCACUCACGCGGCGUUGCUGCGUCAGGGUUGCCCCCAUUGCGCAAAAUUCCUCACUGCUGCCUCCCGUA